UGUAAUUAAGCUCCUUGAAAUUGCACAAGUUCCUGAUGCACAUGUCAAUGAAUUCAAGUCCAUUGAGAAAUUUAAAAUUUUCAAUACAAACAAUUUGUGGGUGAACCUGAAAGUAAUAAAGAGGCUCGUGGAAGCUGAUGCACUCAAGAUGGAGAUCAUCCCAAACCCAAAG